CCGCGGGCAAAGCCGCGCCCAAAAAUAAUCGCCCGAAGGCCGGGGCGCCAAGUUCGUCCAGCGGAAAAAGGCAGCAAAAACGGGUGGGCUAUAGCUUGGGGGGUGGGGCUGGCCAACUUCGUCCGCCGGACUCGGAAUGCCGCGAGACUUUGCGAGGGGCCUCCGUGUGCUAAAAAUAGGCCAUGCACAAAGCCACGCCCACAAAUAACUGCCCGAAGGCCGGGGCGCCAAGUUCGUCCAGCGGAAAAAAGCCACAAAAACGGGUGGGCUAUAGCCUUGGAGGGUGGGGCUGGCCAACUUCGUCCGCCGGACUCAGAAUGCCGCGAGACUUUGCGAGGGGCCUCCGUGUACCAAAAAUAGGCCGCGGGCAAAGCCGCGCCCAAAUAUAACCGCCCGAAGGCCGGGGCGCCCAGUUCAUCCAGCGGAAAAAGGCCACAAAAACGGGCGGGCUAUAGCCUUGCGGGGUGGGGCUGGCCAACUUCAUCCGCCGGACUCGGAAUGGAGCCAGACCUUCCGAGGUGCCUCCGUGUGCCAAAAAUNNNNNNNNNNNNNNNNNNNNNNNNNNNNNNNNNNNNNNNNNNNNNNNNNNNNNNNNNNNNNNNNNNNNNNNNNNNNNNNNNNNNNNNNNNNNNNNNNNNNCCACAAAAACGGGUGGGUAUAACCUCGGGGGGUGGGGCUGGCCACAUCGUCCUGCCGGACUCUGAAUGGCGCGAGAGUUUGUGAAGGUGGCCCCUGUGCCAAAAAAUAGGCCGCGGGCACAGCCGCGCCCAAAAAUAACCGCCCGAAGGCCGGGGUCGCCAAGUUCGUCCAGCGGAAAAAGGCCACAAAAACGGGUGGGCUAUAGCCUUGGGGGGUGGGGCUGGCCAAAUUCGUCCGCAGCACUCGGAAUGGCGCGAGACAUUGUGAGGCACCUCCAUGUGCCAAAAAUAGGCCGUGGGCACAACCGCGCCCAAAAAUAACUGCCCGAAGGCCGGGGCGCCAAGUUCGUCCAGCGGAAAAAGGCCACAAAAACGGGUGGGCUAUAGCCUUGGGGGGUGCGGCUGGCCAACUUCGACCGCCGGACUCGGAAUGGUGCGAGACUUUGCGAGGCUCCCCCGUGUGCCAAAAAUAGGCCGAGGGCGCAGCCGCGCCCAAAAAUAACCACCCGAAGGCCGGGGCGCCAAGUUCGUUCAGCGGAAAAAGCCCACAAAAACGGGUGGGCUAUAGCCUUGGGGGGUGGGGCUGGCCGACUUCGUCUGCCCGACUCGGAAUGCCGCGAGACUUUGUGAGGGGCCUCCGUGUGCCAAAAAUAGGCCGCGGACAAAGCCGCGCCCAAAAAUAACCGCCCGAAGGCCGGGGCGCCGAGUUCGCCCAGCAGAAAAUGGCCACAAAAACGGGUGUGCUAUAGCCUUGGGGGGUGGGGCUGGCCCACUUCGUCCGCCGGACUCCGAAUGGCGCGAGACUUUGUGAGGUGCCUCUGUGUGCCAAAAAUAGGCCAUGGGCACAGCCGCACCCAAUAAUAACGGCCCGAAGGCCGGAGCGCCCAGUUCGUCCAGCGGAAAAAGGCCACAAAAAACGGGUGGGCUAUAGCCUUGGGGGGUGGGGCUGGCCAACUUCGUCCGCCGGACUCGAAAUGGCGCGAGACUUUGCGAGGAGCCUCCGUGUGCCAAAAAUAUGCCGCGGGCAAAGCCGCGCCCAAAAAUAACCGCCAGAAGGCCGGGGCGCCGAGUUCGUCCAGCGGAAAAAGGCGACAAAAACGGGUGGGCUAUAGCCUUGGGGGGUUGGGCUGGCCGACUUCGUCCGCCAGACUCGGAAUGCCGCGAGACUCUGCGAGGGGCCUCCGGGUGACGAAAAUAUGCCGCGGGCAAAGCCGCGCCCUAAAAUAACCGCCCGAAGGCCGGGGCGCCAAGUUCGUCCAGCGGAAAAAGACCACAAAAACGGGUAGGCUAUAGCCUUGGGGGGUGGGGCUGGCCAACUUCGUCCGCCGGACUCGGAAUGCCGCGAGACUUUGCGAGGGGCCUCCGUGUGCCAAAUAUAGGCUGCGGACAAAGCCGCGCCCAAAAAUAACCGCCCGAAGGCCGCGGCGCCGAGUUCGUCCAGCGGAAAAAGGCGACAAAAACGGGUGGGCUAUAGCCUUGGGGGGUGGGGCUGGCCAACUUCGUCCGCCGGACUCGGAAUGCCGCAAGACUUUGCGAGGGGCCUCUGGGUGCCAAAAAUAUGCCGCGGGCAAAGCCGCGCCCAAAAAUAACCGCCCGAAGGCCGGGGCGCCAAGUUCGUCCAGCGGAAAAAGGCCACAACAACGGGUGGGCUAU
rnacentral:lncRNA from 1 species